AGCUUUGGAGGUUUCUGCACGGCACGGAUACCUAGAUCUCUUCUUCAAUUUCCCCCUUCCUCCCCUUGCCUUGUGCCGUAAUUUAUUCCUAUUUUCAUCUCUUCUCUCUUCUUCAAAAUCCUUAUAGCCCUCCCUCACCUUCCCCUUUCCUAUAAAUAUCUCUUUCCUCUUCUUUCUCUCUCUCAUGAUUUUGCUCUCUGAUUCUGUGUCCCCAGGUGCGUGCUUUUUCGUUUUUUGCUCAAUUAUGGCUCCAAUUUCUGUUUUUAUCCUUUGAUCUACUCCCUCACCUUCAAAUAUGGCUUCUUUUAAUGUGCUUCCACCUGUUGUACUGUUCGAUCGGCCUUGAUUUUUUCUGUUUGCUUUUGAGUUUGGGCUUAAUAUUAACUACCCUUCUUCUUGAUCUGCUUAACUUGAUUUAUUCUUUUCUUUGUUUUUUUUACUACCUUUUUCGUCAUGCUCAGCAUUUCAUGUCUUAGUAUGGAAUAAAUACAAAUUACGCCGCUCUAAACUUCCAAAACAAAAGCCUUAUUCUCCGCGAAUGAUUAAAAACCUUGUCUUUUUCUCUUUUAAAGUCUAAUUCCGUCUUGAGUUGUUAAAUGCUUCUCGCUGAAAAUUCAUUUAACCACGAAUGAUCCAGUUCCACCCCCUCAAUUUGGCAACCUAAUAAUUAAGCUGAAGCUACUUACUGUUCCAUAAUUACAGUUUUUUAAUCUUCAACUGAAACUUGGAUAAUAACAUAAUUGAAGUAUGUGUACAUGUCAUAUCUGAAGAUGUGAGAAGUUGCUUACUUGGCUUUCCCGUAAUGUACCUGGAUGUUGCCAUUUUGUGCUCAAUUCAGUGUAAAGAUUGAAUCUUUGUGAUUUCUCAUUGCAAAAAUACUUUAGUUUCUCAUUGCAGAAAUACUUUAAAAGAGGAUCUUAUUCAAGCUU
rnacentral:lncRNA from 1 species